UACGUAGGGGGCAAGCGUUGUCCGGAUUUAUUGGGCGUAAAGAGCGUGUAGGCGGCCAAGCAGGUCAGCUGUGAAAACUCGAGGCUCAACCUCGAGACGUCGGUUGAAACCGUUUGGCUAGAGUCCGGAAGAGGAGACUGGAAUUCUUGGUGUAGCAGUGAAAUGCGUAGAUAUCAAGAGGAACACCAGUGGCGAAGGCGAGUCCCUGGACAACUUCUGACGCUGAGGCACGAAAGCUAGGGGAGCAAACAGG
rnacentral:rRNA from 1 species